rnacentral:rRNA from 1 species
GACGAACGCUGGCGGCGUGCCUAAUACAUGCAAGUAGAACGCUGAAGAGAGGAGCUUGCUCUUCUUGGAUGAGUUGCGAACGGGUGAGUAACGCGUAGGUAACCUGCCUUGUAGCGGGGGAUAACUAUUGGAAACGAUAGCUAAUACCGCAUAACAAUGGAUGACCCAUGUCAUUUAUUUGAAAGGGGCAAAUGCUCCACUACAAGAUGGACCUGCGUUGUAUUAGCUAGUAGGUGAGGUAACGGCUCACCUAGGCGACGAUACAUAGCCGACCUGAGAGGGUGAUCGGCCACACUGGGACUGAGACACGGCCCAGACUCCUACGGGAGGCAGCAGUAGGGAAUCUUCGGCAAUGGGGGCAACCCUGACCGAGCAACGCCGCGUGAGUGAAGAAGGUUUUCGGAUCGUAAAGCUCUGUUGUAAGUCAAGAACGAGUGUGAGAGUGGAAAGUUCACACUGUGACGGUAGCUUACCAGAAAGGGACGGCUAACUACGUGCCAGCAGCCGCGGUAAUACGUAGGUCCCGAGCGUUGUCCGGAUUUAUUGGGCGUAAAGCGAGCGCAGGCGGUUUGAUAAGUCUGAAGUUAAAGGCUGUGGCUCAACCAUAGUUCGCUUUGGAAACUGUCAAACUUGAGUGCAGAAGGGGAGAGUGGAAUUCCAUGUGUAGCGGUGAAAUGCGUAGAUAUAUGGAGGAACACCGGUGGCGAAAGCGGCUCUCUGGUCUGUAACUGACGCUGAGGCUCGAAAGCGUGGGGAGCGAACAGGAUUAGAUACCCUGGUAGUCCACGCCGUAAACGAUGAGUGCUAGGUGUUGGAUCCUUUCCGGGAUUCAGUGCCGCAGCUAACGCAUUAAGCACUCCGCCUGGGGAGUACGACCGCAAGGUUGAAACUCAAAGGAAUUGACGGGGGCCCGCACAAGCGGUGGAGCAUGUGGUUUAAUUCGAAGCAACGCGAAGAACCUUACCAGGUCUUGACAUCCCGAUGCUAUUUCUAGAGAUAGAAAGUUACUUCGGUACAUCGGUGACAGGUGGUGCAUGGUUGUCGUCAGCUCGUGUCGUGAGAUGUUGGGUUAAGGCCCGCAACGAGCGCAACCCCUAUUGUUAGUUGCCAUCAUUCAGUUGGGCACUCUAGCGAGACUGCCGGUAAUAAACCGGAGGAAGGUGGGGAUGACGUCAAAUCAUCAUGCCCCUUAUGACCUGGGCUACACACGUGCUACAAUGGUUGGUACAACGAGUUGCGAGUCGGUGACGGCAAGCUAAUCUCUUAAAGCCAAUCUCAGUUCGGAUUGUAGGCUGCAACUCGCCUACAUGAAGUCGGAAUCGCUAGUAAUCGCGGAUCAGCACGCCGCGGUGAAUACGUUCCCGGGCCU